GAUGAUAUUCUAAUUAUAUGACCAGCACCUGUAGGUUGUCAGACUUAUGUUCCCAUUAUGUUGUUGUUUUUCGUCUAUGUGCUGCCCAGUGCCCAUGUCAUAGUUCACCCUUUUGUUUCCUUAUGCCUUUAUUUAGUUGUUUCUGUUCCUGUCCUCCAUUGUUUCAUUAUUAGUUCAUAAGUCUCCACCUGUGUUUAAUUUACUCCCUAUUACUUAAGCCCUGUAUUGUUUCCAGUCUAGCGUCUGAUAUUGAAUGUCAAUGUUGUGUCUCCUAUGUGCCUUUGUCUGCUUUUAGUUACCCCGUGUUGGAUUAAUAAAGACUGUUUACUUUGAGUUCAGCCCACGUCUCCUUGUUCUUCGUUUCGCCAUAGAAGGCAACCGUGAUACAAGUGUGAUGUGAGGAAGGAGACCACAAGAGAGAUGAACAGCAGGACCAUCAAAGGGGAUUCUCAGGAUGAAGAUGAUGAUGAGAAAAAGAUCCCUAAAGUAAGUCUAGCAGCAGGUGAUGGAGUCCUGUUGAGACUUCGAAUCCAGACAAAGUGAAUGAGAAUUGGAAGUGAAUAUGUAUUGGUCUUGAUGGGGCGGUGACAGAUGCGGAUAAUUAGAACUCAGGUGAUUGGGAUCUUGCUGGACUGGUGAGAGGGUUUGACGAAGCUGCUGUUUCCGUGACAAUACCGUGUUGCUGGACAGCUUCCAAAUGUACCAAACUUCUCACUUACUGUAAGAGCUCUGCACACUACCAUGUGUUUUCCAUUGACAAACUGAACUAACUAGGGAUGUAAUGAUUCACUCAAAUCACAAUGCAAUAUGAUUCAUGAUACUGAUUUCACAAUACGAUUUUCUUUUUUUUUCUUUUUUUUACAAAAUUAGAUUUAGAACAAAUUAUAAAUGAAAAGAUGUCCUUUCAUUAUUGCCUGGACAAAAUGCUGAAAGGGGUCCUAUUAUACUUUCUCACUUUUUCAACUUUAGUUAGUCUGUAAUGUUGCUGUUUGCGCAUU